GAAUGUUCAAGUUAGAAGAGAAGAGCUACAUUGAGAUGCAACAUAUUAUUUGAGGGCCUCAUUUAAUGUGUUACUCUCCUGUCACACUCUAUGACACUGGUCUGUCAACUGGGCUAUGCCUGUCCAGUAUACACUAUAAAAUAUGUAUCAGUUGGGGUUGGAGAGAGGAACUGUGAUCAAAGUAGUCACCCAGCCCAUAUGAGAAAAUGAACCUUUUCCCAAAAGGUGGCCCCAGACUAAAAAGCCUGGAGAAUCCUAAUAGUGGAUUAUACCAUCUCUUCAGUGUUCGUGUUUAAGAAAUAACCUCUUUGGCUUACAGAUUUGACAAGAUCAAAGCUGCAGGAAAAUGGACAGUGAGGUUCAGAGAGAUGGAAGGAUCUUGGAUUUGAUUGAUGAUGCUUGGCGAGAAGACAAGCUGCCUUAUGAGGAUGUCGCAAUACCACUGAAUGAGCUUCCUGAACCUGAACAAGACAAUGGUGGCACCACAGAAUCUGUCAAAGAACAAGAAAUGAAGUGGACAGACUUAGCCUUACAGUACCUCCAUGAGAAUGUUCCCCCCAUUGGAAACUGACGCUUGGCUCCUUUCUUGUGGAUGGAUUUUCUAAAAGUACACAGAUAAAGCAUGUUUUGUUUCAGUCUCCUAAUUCAAAUCUUUGAGUAAUAAAUCAGCACUCAAAAAUGUA
rnacentral:sRNA from 1 species